rnacentral:rRNA from 1 species
AUUGAACGCUGGCGGCAGGCCUAACACAUGCAAGUCGAGCGAGCGGCGGACGGGUGAGUAAUGUCUGGGAAACUGCCUGAUGGGGGGGGAUAACUACUGGAAACGGUAGCUAAUACCGCAUACCAUCAGCUGUGCCCAGAUGGGAUUAGCUAGUAGGUGGGGGAACGGCUCACCUAGGCGACGAUCCCUAGCUGGUCUGAGAGGAUGACCAGUGGCACUGGAGCUGUGCCACGGUCCAAACUCCUACGGGAGGUAGCAGGGGGGAAUAUGGCAGAAUGGGCGCAAGCCUGAUGGAGCCAUGCGCCGGCUGUGUAGAAGGCUUUGGGGUUGCAAGGCACUGUGAGCGGGUAGGCGUUACCCGAAGAAGAAGCAUCGGCUAACUUCGUGCCAGCAGCCGCGGUAAUAC